rnacentral:rRNA from 1 species
AGAUUGAACGCUGGCGGCAGGCCUAACACAUGCAAGUCGAGCGGCAGCACGGGUACUUGUACCUGGUGGCGAGCGGCGGACGGGUGAGUAAUGCCUAGGAAUCUGCCUGGUAGUGGGGGGAUAACGCUCGGAAACGGACGCUAAUACCGCAUACGUCCUACGGGAGAAAGCAGGGGACCUUCGGGCCUUGCGCUAUCAGAUGAGCCUAGGUCGGAUUAGCUAGUUGGUGAGGUAAUGGCUCACCAAGGCGACGAUCCGUAACUGGUCUGAGAGGAUGAUCAGUCACACUGGAACUGAGACACGGUCCAGACUCCUACGGGAGGCAGGCAGUGGGGAAUAUUGGACAAUGGGACGAAAGCCUGAUCCAGCCAUGCCGCGUGUGUGAAGAGGUCUUCGGAUUGUAAAGCUAUUAAGUGGAGAGGCAGUUACAAUACGUAUCUGUUUGACGUUACGACAGAAUAAGCACGCUAAC